ACGAUGAGAAGAUAAAAAAAAAUAUAUGUGUGUGUGUGUGUAUAUGUAUAUAUAUAUAUUAAGAAAUAUUUUGGAGAAUAGCAGACUGCUGCUGCUGUCUGGAAACUCGCGGCUCUUGUUUAAUUGUUAUACGAAAAUUAUCGAUCGCGUUUCGAAACAUUUUGUUUCUAUUCACGUCCGCUUUCCUCAAGUCACGAAUAACCAUCUACAGUACCAAUCGUCUGUAAUACAACGUUGGAUAUCGAUUUUUUCUUUCCCUGUUGACGUUCGAGAAUUUGUGCAUUUAUAUCGAGCGACAUUCGUAUCGCAUUAAAACUGAAGCUUUUGAUCGUGUUGUGUUCUGUUGGCAGUCGCUACCUUUUAGUCGUUAGAUCCUGUUGAAUGGGCCACUGUCACUACAAUAGGGGGUAGUAGGGUGGAUGGGCCGCCAAUAACCUGUCAGGAACUAGCAGAUCGAUAUACAGAUGUUCCGUCAGCCAGCAGACAGUUGUUUCUCCUUUCGUCGCCUCCUCUUAACCAGAAGGAGAAGCAAAAGGGAAUUUAAAGAUCUUCGAUGCUCCAUCGAAUAAAAAUCUCGUAUCUCAAUCGUUGCAUUUAAAAGCACCACUUCAACGUUUGGUAGUUUUGUUCCACGGUGCAUGACAAUUCGUUUUACCGAAUAAAAAUAAUCUUGUACUGUAUAUUGUUUUCUUUUCUUUUUUUUUCUUUUUUUUUUAACAGAACAAAACUUGCGUGGAUGUGGGUCGCGGUCAAGUGAGCGUGUUGGAUUAAGCGGAGAGGAUCUAUCAGGAAAACUAGUCUGUAAGAAGGUAUCGGUGAUUUCCUGCGGUGGAGAAAGCUGUUAUCUCGAGAACGCUUGGCUGCUUAGCGAUCCACCUCAACAGACAUUUUCCCAUAUACCUAGGCGAACGUGAGACUUAAAUAAGAAAUCUUAAAGACCCCCCUGCUAAGUUUAUCAGUCUUCUCUCACUGCCUGUUUGCAGAAUGGAAGAAAUAAUGAAAGAAAACUCACCGGGUCCGUAAGUAACGUUUAAUCUAGAAUAACGGCGUAUAACAAGAAAAAAAAGUGUAUAUAUAUAUCAGGUGAGGUAGUGGAAGUGUUUGUUUUUAACCUAUAUGGGGGUGAGGAAACAUUUCGGGUUUAAUAAACGCCCGGAAUAUAUUAAAAAUUCGGGACACGACUCUCUCUCCUCCGCUUUAUCCCGAAACAUCGUGGUGGUAUUAACCAGGUGUCCCAGAAAGUAGCAGUUUUUCUCAACAAUUAACUUUGCGCGUGCUUUCUUUGCCUUGCCAUCCCCCGGUUUUCUUCCAACCCCCUUGUCACGGUUCGAUGAUUGUUACUCCCGUACUGUUUGCGGUAGCGACCCCAAUAACGUUCGUUUGGUUCUCCUGUUUGUUUUGGCAUUGUUGCCGAUGUAUCGCAAUUACAGGAGUGGUUGAAGACAAGCUUAAUCUGUCGAUAAAUACACCAUUUGGGAAUUUGUUUCUUGGAUUGCAAGUUUUCUUUAGAUCGUGCUUUCGUUAUUAUUAUGUUCGUUUAUUGUUAUUGAUACACGCUAGGAGGUUAUUUUAAUGGAAAACAAGCAAUAGUUCAAUAUACGACAGUUCAGUUAACGUAAAGACAGUUCAACUUGCUACCAGUCUGCGACACUUAAACGUAAAAUUUUUCGAGAUAUUUAAUGGUUUCUCAACUCAUAAAUAUGAGUAAAGUUGUUUCGACGUGCUUCUUCUUAACACUAAUCAUAGAUAGCCAUAAAGGUGUUUUCUAACAACUAGUUUGCAGCACUUUAAAUAUGGUAUGUUCGUAGUAGUCAAUAUCUAAAUAUAAGUCAAGAUGUUAAGACAUGUUGCUAAUUCUUAACACAUAAACAUAGAUAAUAUAAUUCAUAAUGCCUAAAUAUAUGUAAAGUUCCUUCGACAUCUUCAAGUUCUCAAUAGUGAAGAUCUUUAGACAUACUUCUAGUUCUCAACACCUAGCAUAGGUAACUCAUAGUUCAUAAAAUCUAAACAUAGGUAAAAAUCUUUCAACAUGCUGCUAGUUCUCAAUACUUAAACAUAAAUAACGUAAUUCCUAACAUUUAAACAUAACUAAAGGUGCUUGUCAUGGUGCUACUUCUAAACACCUAAUCAUAGAUAUUAUAAAGAUUUUCGAUGUGAAUUUGUUACUUGCUCACAGUAUUUAAACAUAGGUAACAUAACUCUCAACACUUAAAAGUAUUUAACGUUAUUCUCAAUACCUAAACGUAAGUAAAACUGUACUGGUUCUCAACGCCUAAACAUAGCUCUUUGACAUCCUUCAAUUAUCUUCUUUAUCAGUGAUGGCAAUAGGCUACUUUGAUACGAAAUAUAACGUCCCACUUCGAAUUCGAAUCUGCUUGCAGUUCGUAAUUUUAUAAAAGUUUCUUCAGCUUUUUCCACCUAAGUAAACCACUCGGAAUGCAUCUGUGAGGUAUAUAUAUCUCUCAUCCGUUAUUUAGCUCCGUUCCUAAUUUGUUUACAGCAGAAAAAAACUGUUUAGUAAUAUUCAAAUGUUCUCUCUUUGUUUUCGCAUCCCAUAUUCUGAUAAAUGCGUAUCUUAUAAUAGAAGAAUUAUUAUUAUUGUGAUAGAGAAGUAUUGAGUAAUUGGCUGAAGAGCAGUUAAAAAAAAGAUUAAAAAAAGAAAAAAAAAAGGUUUUGGAGAAUAAUUCGAUUAAACGAAUUGUCGAAGAGCAGUUAUGUUCUGUGAAAUGGCAAGGAUUUACAGAAUUUUCUGCUAACAACACAGAUAAUGAAGCCGAAACUUCCUCUUUCAGUAUUUUUACAAAAGCUAUUUUGCUUGUUAUUGAAGAUUUUUUUUUUUUACUUCCUUCUCCUCCUCCACCUCCUCUUCUUCUUCUUCUUUAUCCCAUUUCGCUGUUUUCCAAUUAAUUUCGUUAGCUAAUGCCAAUUUUAGGUAUUGGUAAAAUAAAUAAAUUUUUACUAUCGACGAAUGACAAAUUUGUUUGACAUUCCCUAAUGCAAAAGUGAGAAGAAGAAGGAGGAGGAGGAGGAGGAAGGAAAAAAAAAUAUAUAUUAUAAUAAUAAUAAAAGUGUGCAUUGAUGAAAAUUAAUUUAUUGAUCUGGCAAUUGCUGUUUUUAAGAUAAUUUCGAGGUCAUACUAUCAUUAAUCUUUCAUGGGAGUGUUUUAUGUUUAAAU
rnacentral:lncRNA from 1 species